rnacentral:tRNA from 3 species
GGUGAGUUACGCCACGCGAUCGGUCUUGAAAACCGUCGUGGCGCGAGUCACCGUGGGUUCAAAUCCCACACCCACCG